rnacentral:rRNA from 1 species
AUUGAACGCUGGCGGCAGGCCUAACACAUGCAAGUCGAGCGGAACGGCGGACGGGCGAGUAAUGCCUAGGAAUGUGCCUGGUAGUGGGGGAUAACGACCGGAAACGGGCGCUAAUACCGAAUAUUAUCAGAUGAGCGUAGGUGGGAUUGGCUAGUUGGUGGGGUAAAGGCCGACCAAGGCGACGAUCCGUAGCUGGUCUGAGAGGAUGAUCAGUCACACUGGAACUGAGACACGGUCCAGACUCCUACGGGAGGCAGCAGUGGGGAAUAUUGGACAAUGGGCGAAAGCCUGAUGCAGCCAUGCCGCGUGUAUGAAGAAGGUCUUAGGGUUGUAAAGUACUUUAAGUUGGGAGGCGUUACCGACAGAAGAAGCACCGGCUAACUUCGUGCCAGCAGCCGCGGUAAUUC